rnacentral:tRNA from 1 species
CUGUCCGUAAUUUAAUGGUAAAAUGUCUAUCUUCGGAAUAGAAAAUGGGGGCUCAAAUCCCUUCGGACAUU